CAGUCGAACGGUGAAGGAGAGCUUGCUCUUUGGAUCAGUGGCGAACGGGUGAGUAACACGUGAGCAAUCUGCCCUUGACUCUGGGAUAACUGCGGGAAACUGUAGCUAAUACCGGAUACGACCUGGAGAGGCAUCUUUUUGGGUGGAAAGAAUUUUGGUCAAGGAUGAGCUCGCGGCCUAUCAGCUUGUUGGUGAGGUAAUGGCUCACCAAGGCGACGACGGGUAGCCGGCCUGAGAGGGUGACCGGCCACACUGGGACUGAGACACGGCCCAGACUCCUACGGGAGGCAGCAGUGGGGAAUAUUGCACAAUGGGCGCAAGCCUGAUGCAGCAACGCCGCGUGAGGGACGAAGGCCUUCGGGUUGUAAACCUCUUUUAGUAGGGAAGAAGCGACUGGGUUUUCCUGGGAGUGACGGUACCUGCAGAAAAAGCACCGGCUAACUACGUGCCAGCAGCCGCGGUAAUACGUAGGGUGCAAGCGUUGUCCGGAAUUAUUGGGCGUAAAGAGCUCGUAGGCGGUUUGUCGCGUCUGCUGUGAAAACCCGAGGCUCAACCUCGGGCCUGCAGUGGGUACGGGCAGACUAGAGUGCGGUAGGGGAGAUUGGAAUUCCUGGUGUAGCGGUGGAAUGCGCAGAUAUCAGGAGGAACACCAAUGGCGAAGGCAGAUCUCUGGGCCGUAACUGACGCUGAGGAGCGAAAGCAUGGGGAGCGAACAGGAUUAGAUACCCUGGUAGUCCAUGC
rnacentral:rRNA from 1 species